GGAUGUGACGGUUAUGCGCGCUCCCGAGAACCUCUCUCCCGUUUAGUGACACAUUAAAUAAAUGCUUACAGGAUCAUACCGAAAGAGCUAUUCUGUACUGUAAUGUCAAUGUAUCAUGCAAAGAAAAAGGAUUCAUUUAAACUAUAGUCUCACAUAGCCUCAAAUAUUCAAACUUCUGCAAGAGUGUCAUUUUAAUUACCUCAUCUGUUGACAUGAUGCCGGUAAAUCGCAGAGCUGGUGCAAACAAAUGCACAUCGCUACAUAUGUUCACUGCAAAGUGUAGGUGAUUUUCAAACAGGUUUCUGAACACUCUGCCAGGUUAUCCAUUGGUCAGAAAAUAGAUAGUCCCUCCCCAAACGCACCAUUGGUUGAGUGAGUGUUGUGAUGCUCAGAGCUUCUCCUUUCAUGCGAGGUCUCGAAGGAAGGCUAGAGCCGACCGUAGUCCUCCGCGUCCGACUCCUCUCACUGUGGCCCUUGUUACAGGACGAGUUAAUUGAAUCAGAGUUCACUUCGUCCAUCCAGAUGCUCC